GGGAGUCCGAGGAGACCAGGGAAUGAAGCGCUCCCCAGCACAGUGCAGCAGUUCUACAGAGAAGCAGCCAGACUGAUUUUUCGUGCAAGUCCUUUAUGCUGUUUCUCUUUACUGGGCAGAAUCUCCAAACCGAGGACGACAACCACCCCCAUAGAUGUGUUCAGGCAAGCAAAUAGCUAGAACAUCAAUAAGAUGCUGGAGUUUAAUCAACCACAGCAGACUGUGAGGUGGAAGCCACUUGGUGAUUGUGAGCCAGCACCAAGAUCGAAGGCAUUUGGAUCCCUGGUGAUCACAGACCCAGCAUGUCAUCUCUGCAAAGGUCUUUGAGCAGGAGCCCAAGGAAGGAAAAAUAAGGACACACAUUUUUGGCUGGAUUAGUAACAUCUUUCCUUUGUCUUCAUCCACCAGUGUUCUUGCUUCCCAGAAAGUGUGGAAUAUUGGCCUUCCUUUUCAGAUUCAUGUGAAAGCUUGGAGAAAAGAACACAGACUAAAAGGAAUAUAAAUCCAAAAGAAUGAGUGAAAUGGGAAUACACAAGGCAUGAGCAAUAAGACUGUUCUCUCAGAAACAAUGAGAAUAACUGCUCUACAUCUUACAAACCAGAAACUUACACGUUGUAUCUCAUUAAAUUUUAUUUUGAAUAUUGAGAACA
ensembl:lncRNA LINC02468 long intergenic non-protein coding RNA 2468